rnacentral:tRNA from 1 species
GCGGGAUUGUCGGAGUGGUCAAACGAGCAGGACUUAAGAUCCUGUAGCUUAGUGCUUGCGCAGGUUCGAAUCCUGUAUCCCGCA